rnacentral:rRNA from 1 species
AUACGGAGGGUGCAAGCGUUAUCCGGAUUUAUUGGGUUUAAAGGGUCCGUAGGCGGAUCUGUAAGUCAGUGGUGAAAUCUCAUAGCUUAACUAUGAAACUGCCAUUGAUACUGCAGGUCUUGAGUAAGGUAGAAGUAGCUGGAAUAAGUAGUGUAGCGGUUAAAUGCAUAGAUAUUACUUAGAACACCAAUUGCGAAGGCAGGUUACUAUGUCUUAACUGACGCUGAUGGACGAAAGCGUGGGGAGCGAACAGAAUUAGAAACCCCAGUAGUCC